CAUGAUUGUGUGUUGGCCUAUCAGUUGAUGGGCACUUAGGUUGAUUCUAUGUCUUUGCAAUUGUGAAUUGUGCUGUAAUAAACAUAUGCAUGCAAGUGUUUUUUUGAUUUAGUGACUGUUUUUGGGAGGUAGAUACCCAGUAGUGGAAUUUCUGGGUAGAAUGGUAGAUCUACUUUUAGUUCUUUGACAAAUAUCCACAUCUUUUUCCACAGAGGUUGUGCUAAUUUACAAUCCCACCAGCUGCGUAUAAGCGUUCCAUUUUCACUACAUCCACACCAACAUCUAUUGCUUUUUGACUUUUAAAAAAUAGCCGUUCUGACUAGGAUAAAGUGGUGCCUCAUUGUGGUUCUAAUUUGUAUUUCCCUGAUUAGUGAUGUUGAGCAUUUUUUCAUCUGUCUGGUGGCUUUCUGUGUGUCUUAUUUUGAGAAAUGUGUAUUCAUUCAACUCAAGGAUUUUAUCCUUGCUUUUGUUUCUUCCUGGAAUGUUCUUACUUCACUUACCUGGGUCUCUCCUCUCAUUCAGGUCUCAAUGCCAAGGUCUUCCCUGAGGACCUGAUCUAGUUUCUCUUUCCCUAUUGAGAUGGAGCAGGAGCCCCCUUUAUUAGGGGCCUGCAGACCCCAAACAUGGAAAUCAAGGAGAAUCAUGAUUGCCUUCAAGGGAAGUUCCAGGCACCUAGCUAGCUCCAGAAGUCAAUAAGUAACUUAUUAAAAAAGAAGGCAAUAGUAGCCUAAAGGACACCUGAGGAAAUUAGAGUCCUAGGGAUGUUUGUUUUUCCUAAAGAAUCCAAGGAGAACAUCUUAACCUGUACUUCUGAGUUGUCUUUCAGAAACUCAGACCCCCACUGGGGACCCACACUGAAGGGAUCAGCCAAUAUGCAGACCUCAGAUACGCUCAGCGUGUUCCAAGACGCAGGCCCCACCCCCGGAGGUGAAUGUGUGGAGAUAACCAGUUACCACGGGGCUCUCUAGAAGGGGUCCAGCACACAGGCAGUUGGCAGAACCCGGGAAGUACCAGCUAUUGAAAUGAACUCAAACUGCCUUAUCUAAAGACUGUGAAAAAAGAAAUGGUUCGGGUACAAAGCUUACUGCCAAGGAGUGCUCUGCCACCUCUGCCUGACAGGGACAGAAGGGAUCUUGUUGGCAACACAUUCCCAGGGUUGGAAGGGCCCCUGCGGAGCUUCAUGGCACAGGCAGAACAGAUGCUGAGAUCACUCAUGUGGAUGAGAGACCUGGCUGCCCACUCACACCACCUGGCGAGCUUGAGAUCAGCAUCUAAAACGCCCCAGGAGAACUGGGCACUGGUUCUGACAAGUUAAGAAGGCAAAAGUCUGCUGCUCUGGGGUGACGGGUGUAACUGGAGUGAGUGUUGUGAACAAACAGAGAUAACGAAUUUUUCAAACAUUUUUUACCAUAGUCAGAUUUAAUCUCCUAUCUCUAAGUCUAUGGUCUUUCUUCUUCCCUCUAAAAUGUGUUAUUUCAUGGGGAGUUUUCUGAGAUACAGGCCAAGGGCAAAUUCUGGUACAGCUCAUCCACUCUGCCUCUCCACUGCUCUAGGAGCAGGCAGGAUUUGGUAGAGGUUGGGGAUGAAUCCCAGAGCUCAGCCCUGAGAGUCUGCACCCUGCAGACACAUCCUGGGGAGGUCACCACCCUGACCCUCUCUCUGGGUGGAGCAAACAGGCCAAGGAGACAAUGGUUCCAAAGGCGUUAGGACACAGCAGCCACGGGGGACUAGGCCUAGGAGCUCAGCAGCAGGGGACAGGGAAGGGCCAUGAGUCUUUUGCUUUGGGAAAUAGUUAGGUCUGAGACUUUUGGUGAUGGGCACAGGCAGCCUAUGCAAUCUUGUGCUGGAAGAGGUGCUUCUAAUCACAAAAAGGGCAAUAAGAUAGUUGCUUUUUGCCUGGGGAGGACAGGUGACAAGGUGAAGGUCACAUGCAAGGUCGUGGCAUUUUCCCAUAUGUGGGGAUGCUGAAUGCCAACAUCUCUAUUUCCCACCUUUCUACAUCCAGAUAAAUAAUGAAGCAUUUUCUGUAUGGAGGGCAGAGCCUGGUCUAUGCAGCUCUUUCUAUCAGGCAUGGAGACUUGCAGGCCCCUGGCUGAUCUUCUCCACCCAGCCAGUUGUUCCUGGAUUCAGUCAGGGCAGGCCUAGACUCCCCUUUCUGCUGGGUUGUGAGAACUGCAGUCUUUAGCAUGUGAGUCUUCGCAGGAGCAAAGGCAUGGGCCAAGGGUUUAAUAUUAUCACUUAAAACCAGAGGUGAAACUGGGUUGGGGCUAAGUCAGAACGAACAAAAAAGGAGCUACUCUUAAGACUUGCAGAGAAAUAGUGACAAUGACUCAUUUUAAACUAGAACCCAAUGUGGUAAUGAGCUCACAUUUGAGCAUUCGACAGUGCCUAUACAUUCUCCAAUGCAGGUGUCAUUAAGGGAGAUGUGUCUGGCAGCAGCAAGAGUAGUUUUAAUUGAGAAGUGGUUUCACACAGAUAUAUAGGGAUGGAAAUGGAUAUAUCUACAUACAUUUAGAUAUAUAGACAUCUAUGCAUAGAUCUGGAUCUAUAUCCAUGUAUCGACAGAUUCUGUACUAUUCACUCCUUUCUUCCUUCGCUUCACAGUCAUGGUUGAGUCUAAAAGAUAUUAAGACCAUCAGUUGAAAAGUAAAGCUCAUUUUAAACUAGUUAUUCAACUUUAUGUACUCCAUGUACCUACAGUCAGAGUAUUUUUUAAUUUCUGAUUUUACUCAGCAACUCAAAGGGAGCCUCUUCUUUCCUUCUUGUUUGUCUUUCUUCACCCCUUAAGUACAGGACCUUCAUUGGUCCCACUGGAAAUGACCCUGACCCCAGCCUUGGUUUGUGACUGACUGAAAUUCCUGUGGCCUUCUCAAAGCUGAGGUCUUCCAUUUGCACUGAUUCAUGGAUACUCAUGGCAUUGUGAGUCUUUCGCGAAUCUGCCAGGAUACAUCAUGUUAUCGGGUGCAGGUGUGUGUAAAGAUCUGACCCCUGAACACAUCUUUUGUGAACUAACAGAGAAACAGAUGCUAGUGGAUGUGUGUGUGUCAUCCACACCUAGGGAGACAACAGGGCUUCCAAACCCCUAGAGCUGAUCCCUGGCAGGGCUCAAACUGCAGGGGAGAUGCUGUGGGGGUCUGUGGUUACUUUUGUGCUGAAGACCUUCUUCUUCAGUGGUGCCUCUUCAUUUGCAAUUGUAAUUAUUUCUCUGGAAACUAGGAACCUAGGUUUUUGUGAAGUGAUAAAACUAAUUAGCCACAACAAAUCCUGUCUGUGCUUAGUUUGCUCAGGACUACACAGUGUAUAUUAGUUUGCCUUUUGGUAGGAGCCUCUUUGCUGUGGCAUGACAGUGCUGCAGUCCCCUGGGGCUGCUUCAACCCCCACCAGAAAGGAAAAUGAGAGAAACAAUGCAUUCGAGGCACAAGCCUGCUACAAAUCACCCAUUAAUUACACACAGAGCUGUGCGCCAGCCAAAGGGCUUUGUCGGGCUUGCACCUUGAAGCCAAUAGCAGAAUUCUAGGUGCUGCAAUUGGGAAUAAGGAGCUGUGCUCGACAUACAUGACCAUUGGGCACAGUCUAGGGCAAGGAGGAAUAAUUCAAGGCCACGCCAAAACCCAGGAGGAAGAACAUGGCCACACAACCCAUCUGCUUUGACCAGUCUUGCCUUCACGUGAGGUCAUUGGAAAGAAACCACCUGCACAGGUGUAAACUCCUGGGUGCUUUUGCCUAAGGCAGUUUCCAGGGGCAAGAGAAAUGCAACAAGAAUAAAGGUGACUCAUAAAAUGGAUCCUGCCAUGUAAAUUCGAAGCAGAAAGUGUAUUUUAAUUAGACUUGGUUGCUGCUUUCACCCGAUUUCCAAGUAUUAAAUUUUCUCUUUCAUUUCCUGCGUGAGUAAUCCUGGCCCUGAUUAAUUGAAAACACUAGGUCCUUGCUACUCCCACACAUUCCCCAUGGAGGGGACUGCGCUUCCGUGACAAAUGGUCAUGGAAUGUGCUCCAUUAUCAUUCCUUGACAUAGCAAAUAAAGAGGGGAAAUCAUUUAUUCCCAGCAUUGGCAAGCAGCCUUCGGGGACUGCACUGGCCAGCUCUGACACCCACUGAAUGAUGGUGGCGGCACUGAUUUGCGUUACCCGCAGACAGAACCCGUGCCCUCUCACUCCAUUAGCCAAGUCAGAAACAUCAAGCUUUUACGGAAUCCAUUCCAGCUGAAACAACAGUCUCCUUUAUCAUUGUAAUAAACACACCCAGGGACAGAGGAUAGCUGCUCAGGAAUUUCUGGUUGGAGCCCCCUGGGUGAAGUUGAGGAAGGAAGACCUGCCCACAGCCCCAGUUCCCUGGAAGUCUGUGAAUAGCAAGAAAUGGGGCAGGCUGGGCUGUGCUUGCUGUCAUCUCUGGGUGGGGGGAGAUGGAGGCCUGGGCAGGAGUCCUAAGAAUGCUGGGUGUCCAUGGCUGCCUAGUCGCUGGGGUCUCUCCAGCAGAGGACGGUGUGGCUGUGCACCUUGUCCAAUGCCAGGAAGCCAGCAGCCGGGGGUGGAACUCGGUAUUCUGCAGGGAUGUUGUGACUGACACAGUAAUUAUGGGUUUUUGCAUUGUUUAUGCCUCUCUGGGAGCAGAGCCAAAUGCUAUGAGCCGGUGGCUGCAAGGCACUCAGUAGAUUUCAUGACAGAGUAUCAUUGUAUUUACUCUUUCAGGCCUCCCGGACUAUUGGCGCCUCAUGAAGCUUUAACACUAUUUGCUGUUCUCAUAAUUAAAUCACUGACUAAAUAAAAAAAAAAAACAAUAAAAGAAAUACCAAAUCAUUCUAAACAGUGAUCCAACAUGGCUUGGGUGCAUUCACAUAAAAGCAACUUUCUGUCAUUUUACAUUUUUUUCUGCUCUGAUCUGGGCUAUGUGGGUGCUUUGAUGCUGGGCUGGAAUCAGGCAGCUGUGUCCUGCCCUGUCCGCCUGGCCUGCAGCUGAGGGCUGGAGCCCCCUGCACUGCCCCUCCCCACCCCCUGCAGACCCCAGGAGGAGGGAGGGAGCAAACUUUGCCAGUACCCAGGGUGGAAAAACUCUCUCUGCUGUAAACUAAAAAUAAAAUCCUAAGCCUCAUCAACUAAACAGACAUGCCUUGUGGUGAAGGGGACCCAGAGAAGUUGAGUUCCUGCCAUGACAGGAUGGGCGGUCAGACAUGCCUCUUUAUACCCCUCUCCUUUCUGGUUCAGACACAGCAAGUGACCAGCGUUCAUGUUAAAAUAGAGAUCGUAAGACUGGCAGAAUGGACUUUUGUGGCAAUAGAUACCAAAUUGUAACCUGGACCUAAGAUCCUGCCCCACACUCCCACACUUAAAGGAGAAACUGUGCUCUGUCACAGGUGUUUCUUUUCAAAACUCCAGCAGCUGAGCAAGCACUGGCCUGGAGAUAAGCAAUGUUAAAACAGUUACAAGUUACCCAGCUCACAGACGCAGGCUAACUGACCCCUGUCCCACCAGCCAUAACUGCAGCCUGUACUAGAUAAGAGGCUGAUUUCAGUAACUUUCUCCCGAUCAGAGACUGCUGACCAUGGACUAGUUCUGGCUGGUUUUUGGAAGUUCUACAGUCAUGUGCCUUGUGUUCUGAAAAGGCCUUUGGAUGGGCUAAUACAGUUAAAUGUUGUCUCAUCCCCAAAGUGAAUAUGCAUCAUAUAUAGUCACAUGCAUAUAUCAGGACCACCUUCAUGAAUAUUCAUGGAUUCUCCUGCAAUCUGUUGAAUAUGUAUGUUUGGCCAACCUGCUCAGCAUAGAGCUCCUGUCCCAAACCCCUUCUCUUUCAGAGUGCCUGUCUCUGGUCUUGGCCAAAGGCUAUGCUUCCCAGCCUGCGGACAGCCACCUUGUAGGCUGUACCCUUUUAUAAGAAAGCCUCCUUUUCUAAUUUAUACAUCUUGUGAUUUUUAAGUUAACACUGCUCAACUCUGAGCUGUUGGGAGAAUAGGAGGUACCCUUGUCUAUUUUCAGCCCACAAACAUUUUUCCUCCUCUAGAUGCAUUUGCUCAGAACUGGAUCAAAAUUGUGUGUGUGUAUGUGUGUGUGUAUUUGUAUAUAUUUGUGUGUGGUGUGUGUGCACAUGCAUGUAGAUAUUUUCCUCUUCAAUUUCACAAAGUACACACGUAUACUGAAAUAAACUCCUUCUGGAUCUGCUGAGUGUGAAAUUGAUGAGACUCCAGCCUGUCUCACUCUCACUUUCCCCCAGGAGUGCCUGCUCUGCGGGUGCCUGGGCUGAAGCAGGAUGGGCUCUGGGUGACUCCUCUACUGGGGAGGUGGGUAGGGGAAAGCUGGCCAGGCUUGCUGCGUGCUGGGGUCCAGGCAGACAGAGCUCCCCUGGGAAGUUUUCUUCAGGCAGGAAAACUCACCCUGUGGGGCCUUCACCUCCCUUUAGCCUAAAACAUAUAGAUAUUAAAUUUUCACUUAUUUUUAUUUGUGGAGUACAUGUGUAAUUAUGUGCAUAGACUUCAUAGUGGUCAAGUCAGGGCUUUUAGGGUAUCUGUUACCUGAAUAACAUACAUUGUACCCAUUAACUGAUUUUUCAUCAUCCUUACCCCUCCCACCUGGCACCCUUCCCAGUCCCCUUCUCUCUCAUUCCAUUCUCUAUGUCCACAUGAACACAUUUAUCAUCCACUUAUGAGUGAGAACAUGCGAUAUUUGUCUUUCUGUGAAAUAAUUUUAACAUGGAAGCAAUGUCUUUUGUUUUACCGUUAAGGCUAGGACGUUAUUGCAGAUUCCCCCAGUGUCUUAAAUUUACACCACAGAGUAAAUGACCCAUUAGAACCUCUCCUGAAAAAGCCUUUGAUUGUAGUAGAAGCAAUGAUGAUGAUGAUAAUGAUGACGACGAUGAUGGCGAUGAUGAUGUUGACGAUGAUGAUGAUGAUGAUGACGAUGAUGAUGAUGAUGAUGAUGACAAUGAUGAUCGUCGCAAAUGCUUCCAUAGCUCUAGCUGUGUGCUGGGCGCUGUUCUAAGUGUGUAAAUAAAAGUGGUGUAUAUAAGAGUUAAUUCACAAAAUACACUAAUGCCUUGUGGUCAUUAAAGCCCAGAGAGGUCAGUAGCAGUACCAAGACUUGAAUUUGCAUAUGUCUUUAACCUCUAUACAAUGCAAGGCAUAAAUCCGCCUGAUAGCUAGAAUCAGGCUUGGGGUUGUCGGUGCGGGGGAGUUUCCCAACAAACUCUUCAGAUCCUCAGGUUGGUGGAAGUUGGAUUCUGUGGAAAUGGUGGCGGAAGCAGCAGGAGAUGGGGUGAUGUGGCUGCUUAUUACUGGCAAUAUUUAGGCCAGAAUUAGCAGUAAUUUUUUCUUCAAUUAGCAAAUAUUGGACACUUAGAAAACUGUCUUAGAAAAUCAUGUGUUAAAAUCAAAUAUUUUAAUCCAGCUCUUUUAACAGAUUACAUGGCAAAGAUAAUUAGGCUGCUGGGAACAGGAUAUAGUGUUUAAUUAAUGCAUUAAUUUUGAAAGCGAAAUUCGAUUGUUAAAGAAAAUACAAUAAAGGAUUGAAACAUGAAAUUAGCAUAGGAGCAUUACCCAUUUCUUCAAGCAGCUUACUGGGCAUGAUCUUUUUCCUGCUGUUUCCCGGGGGAGGUUAAGUAGGAAAGUAGGGUCAUUUGUGUCUUGCAGGAGAAUGAAACUCUGCCAUCCUGUUUGUGGGGGUGGAGGUGGAGACAUUAAAAAGACCCAGCCUUUAUACUGUGCCCCCAAAUGCAAACCCACAUGAACUAUCUGGCAGGUUCCUAGGUGCUAAGUGCACUUCCUGGUCUUUCAUGUCACUAGAAGAGACAUGGGGCUCGACUUACAGAGAUGACAACACACUUGCUUAAAGCCUGAAGGGUAUCACUGCCCCUGCCUGCAGCAAAACGUCAGCCCCGGCCCAGUUCCUCUCUCAUCACCACUCCUGCCCCUUUCUUUUUCUUUUUAAUUGACACAUAAUCAUUGUACACAAUUAUGGGGUUAAAUAUUAUGUUUCAGGGCAUACAUAUGUUGUGCAAUGAUCAAAUUUAAUGAGAUAUCUGGAGCAAUAUUACUAGAAGAAGGAUGAGGUUGUUUUAGGAUACAAAAUCAAUGUACACAAAUUCAUAUGGAACACAAAAAGAGCCCUCAUAGCCAAAGCAAGACUAAGUAAAAACAACACAUCUGGAGGCAUCACAUUACCUGAUUUCAAACUAUACUACAAGGCUAUAGUGACCAAAACAGCAUGGCAUUGGUAUAAAAACAGCCACACAGACCAAUGGAACAGAAUAGAGAACCCAGAAAUAAAGUCAAAUACUUACAGACAACUGAUCUUCCAUAAAGCAAACAAAAACAAAGUGGGGAAAAGAUGCCCUAUUCAACAAGUGGAGCUGCGAUAAUAGGUAAGCCACAUGUAGAAGAAUAAAACUGGAUCCUCAUCUCUCACCUUAUACAAAAAUCAACUCAAGAUGGAUCAAAGACUUAAACCUAAGGUGUGGAACCAUAAAAAUUCUAGAAGAUAACAUCAGAUAAUCUCUCCUAAACAUUGGCUUAUAACCAAGAACCGAAAAGCAAAGGCAACAUAAACAAAAAUAGAUAAAUGGGACCUAAUCAAACCAAAAAGCUUCUGCACAGCAAAACAAAUAAUCAGCAGAGUAAAUGGACAACCCACAGAGGGGGAGAAAAUAUUUGCAAACUAUGCUUUUGACAAAGGACUAAUAUCCAGAAUCUACAAGGUACUCAAACAGAUCAGCAAGAAAAAGACAAAUAAUCCCAUCAAAAAGUGAACAAAGGAAAUAAAUAAACCAUUCUCAAAAGAAUACAUGAAAACAGCCAACAAACAUAUAGAAAAUGCUCAACAUCACUAAUUAUCAGGGAAAUGCAAAUUAACAUCACAAUGAGAUACCCUUUACUCCAGCUACAAUGGCCAUAAUUAAAAAAUCAAAAACAAUAAAUAGUGUCAAAGAUGUGGUGAAUAGAGAAGGCUUUUACACUGCUGGUGGGAAUUUAUACUAAUACAACCACUUGUUCUAGCCCAUUACCUGUCAUCCUCCACCCUCUUCUUCCCUUCCACCCUCCAACCUUUUCUUCCCCAUUCACCCCUCACCUCCUCCAUUUUUCUAGCCUCUUCUUCCCCUCCAACCUGCUUCCCCUCCACCAUCCUUCCCUUCCACCCUCCUUCCCCUCCACCUCUUUCCCCUCCACCCUUCUUCCCCUCCACUAUCCUUCCCCUCCUUUCUCUCCACCAUCCUUCCCUUCCACCCUCCUUCCCCUCCAGCUCCUUCCCCUGCACCCUUCUUCCCCUCUACCUUUCUUUCUCCCUUCCCUCCCAUCCUCUUUCCCCUCCAUCCUUCUUCCCCUCCACCCUCCUUCUCCUUCUUCCCCUCUACCCAUCUUCCACUCCUUC
rnacentral:lncRNA from 1 species